rnacentral:RNase_P_RNA from 1 species
UGGAGCCGGUGAAUGGUCGCGGGGUCCUAAAGGGUCCUGAGGAAAGUCCGAGCUCCAAAGGGCAGGGUGCUGGGUAACCCCCAGUGGGAGCGAUCCCAAGGAAAGUGCCACAGAAAAUAUACCGCCUCGCCGGGGUUCGCCCCGGCGUGGUAAGGGUGAAAAGGUGAGGUAAGAGCUCACCAGUACUGGUGGUGACACCGGUAGCUUGGUAAACCCCACUCGGAGCAAGACCAAAUAGGGGAGGAGAGGCGGCCCGUCUCGUAACGACUCCCGGGUAGGUUGCUUGAGGCGGACGGCAACGUUCGUCCUAGAUAAAUGACCAUUCAAGGGCUCGCGCCCUGGACAAAACUCGGCUUAUAGCCGGCUCCAUUCA